rnacentral:rRNA from 1 species
AUUGAACGCUGGCGGCAUGCUUUACACAUGCAAGUCGAACGGUAACAGGGUGCUUGUACCGCUGACGAGUGGCGAACGGGUGAGUAAUGCGUCGGAACGUGCCGAGUAGUGGGGGAUAACGCGUCGAAAGGUGUGCUAAUACCGCAUACGUACUGAGGUAGAAAGUGGGGGACCUUCGGGCCUCACGCUAUUCGAGCGGCCGAUGUCUGAUUAGCUAGUUGGUGAGGUAAAGGCUCACCAAGGCGACGAUCAGUAGCGGGUCUGAGAGGAUGAUCCGCCACACUGGGACUGAGACACGGCCCAGACUCCUACGGGAGGCAGCAGUGGGGAAUUCUGGACAAUGGGCGCAAGCCUGAUCCAGCCAUGCCGCGUGUCUGAAGAAGGCCUUCGGGUUGUAAAGGACUUUUGUCCGGGAGCAAAUACCCAGUGCUAAUAACGCUGGGGGCUGAGAGUACCGGAAGAAUAAGCACCGGCUAACUACGUGCCAGCCGCCGCAGUAA